UACGUAGGGUGCGAGCGUUAAUCGGAAUUACUGGGCGUAAAGCGUGCGCAGGCGGUUCGUUGUGUCGGCGGUUAAAUCCCCGGGCUCAACCUGGGAAUGGCCGUUGAAACUGGCGAACUGGAGUGUGGCAGAGGGGGGUGGAAUUCCGCGUGUAGCAGUGAAAUGCGUAGAGAUGCGGAGGAACACCGAUGGCGAAGGCAGCCCCCUGGGCUGACACUGACGCUCAGGCACGAAAGCGUGGGGAGCAAACAGG
rnacentral:rRNA from 1 species